rnacentral:rRNA from 1 species
CUUAGAAUGCAAGUCGAACGGUAACAGCAGAGCUUGCUCUGGCUGACGAGUGCGGGUAUGGGUGAGUAACGCGUAGGAAUCUACCCAGUAGCGGGCGAUAGCCCGGGGAAACCCGGAAUAAUACCGCAUACGCCCCACGGGGGAAAGAGGGCCUCUUCUUGAAAGCUCUCACUAUUGGAGGAGCCUGCGUUGGAUUAGCUAGUUGGCGGGGUAAAGGCCUACCAAGGCGACGAUCCAUAGCUGGUCUGAGAGGACGAUCAGCCACACUGGAACUGAGACACGGUCCAGACUCCUACGGGAGGCAGCAGUCAGGAAUAUUGUGCAAUGGGGGAAACCCUGACACAGCCAUGCCGCGUGUGUGAAGAAGGCCUUAGGGUUGUAAAGCACUUUCAGUAGGGAGGAACUAGCAGCGUUAAUACCGCUGUGAGAUGACGUUACCUACAGAAGAAGAUCCGGCUAACUCCGUGCCAGCAGCCGCGGUAAUACGGAGGGAUCGAACGUUAAUCGGAAUUACUGGGCGUAAAGCGCGCGUAGGUGGUUUGUUAAGUGGGAUGUGAAAGCCCCGGGCUCAACCUGGGAACUGCAUUCCAAACUGACAAACUAGAGUACGAUAGAGGGGGGUAGAAUU